rnacentral:rRNA from 1 species
UACGUAGGGCGCGAGCGUUGUCCGGAUUGAUUGGGCGUAAAGAGCUCGUAGGCGGCUUGUCGCGUCGACUGUGAAAACCCGUGGCUCAACCAUGUGGUCUGCAGUCGAUACGGGCAGGCUAGAAUUCGGUAGGGGAGACUGGAAUUCCUGGUGUAGCGGUGAAAUGCGCAGAUAUCAGGAGGAACACCGGUGGCGAAGGCGGGUCUCUGGGCCAUUACUGACGCUGAGGAGCGAAAGCGUGGGGAGCGAACAGG